rnacentral:rRNA from 1 species
AUACGGAGGGGGCUAGCGUUGUUCGGAAUUACUGGGCGUAAAGCGCGCGUAGGCGGGUUGGCAAGUUGAAGGUGAAAUCCCAGGGCUCAACCCUGGCGCUGCCUCCAAAACUGCCAGUCUUGAGUUCGGAAGAGGUGAGUGGAAUUCCUAGUGUAGAGGUGAAAUUCGUAGAUAUUAGGAAGAACACCAGUGGCGAAGGCGACUCACUGGUCCGAUACUGACGCUGAGGUGCGAAAGCGUGGGGAGCAAACAGGAUUAGAUACCCCAGUAGUCC